rnacentral:rRNA from 1 species
AUUGAACGCUGGCGGCAGGCCUAACACAUGCAAGUCGAGCGGAUGAAGGGAGCUUGCUCCUGGAUUCAGCGGCGGACGGGUGAGUAAUGCCUAGGAAUCUGCCUGGUAGUGGGGGAUAACGUCCGGAAACGGGCGCUAAUACCGCAUACGUCCUGAGGGAGAAAGUGGGGGAUCUUCGGACCUCACGCUAUCAGAUGAGCCUAGGUCGGAUUAGCUAGUUGGUGGGGUAAAGGCCUACCAAGGCGACGAUCCGUAACUGGUCUGAGAGGAUGAUCAGUCACACUGGAACUGAGACACGGUCCAGACUCCUACGGGAGGCAGCAGUGUGGAAUAUUGGACAAUGGGCGAAAGCCUGAUCCAGCCAUGCCGCGUGUGUGAAGAAGGUCUUCGGAUUGUAAAGCACUUUAAGUUGGGAGGAAGGGCAGUAAGUUAAUACCUUGCUGUUUUGACGUUACCAACAGAAUAAGCACCGGCCAACUUCGUG